UUAGGGUUUGAUCCUGGCUCAGAAUCAACGCUGGCGGCGCGCUUAACACAUGCAAGUCGAACGAGAAAGUGGAGCAAUCCAUGAGUAAAGUGGCGCACGGGUGAGUAACACGUGGGUAAGCUCCCUCUGGGUGGGGAAUAACUCGCGGGAAACCGGAGCUAAUACCGCAUAAGCCCCCAUUGAAUAAAUGGACGGGAAAGCUGACAAUCGCCGAGAGAGGAGGCCGUGGUCGAUUAGCUAGUUUGUGAGGUAAAGGCUCACCAAGGCUGUGAUCGAUAGCCGGCCUGAGAUGGCACUCGGGCACACUGGCACUGAAACCCGGGCCAGACUCCUACGCGAGGCAGCAGUGGGGCAUCUUGCACAAUGGGGGAAACCCUGGGCAGCGACGCCGCGUGAGCGAUGAAGCCCUUCGGGGGUGUAAAGCUCUCUCGGCAGGGACUCUAAUGACGGUACCUGGAUAAGAAGCUUGCGGCUAACUACGUGCCAGCAGCCGCGGUAAUACGUAGGCAGCGAGCGCGUUCGGAGUUACUGGGCGUAAAGAGUGCGUAGGCGGUGGCCCAAGUCUGGUGUGAAAUCUCCCGGCUCAACCGGGAGGGUGCGCCGGAAACUUGGUUGCUUGAUCACUUGAGAGGCAAGCGGAAUUCCUGGUGUAGCGGUGAAAUGCGUAGAUAUCAGGAGGAACACCCGUGGUGUAGACGGCUUGCUGGACAGUCACUGACGCUGAGGCACGAAAGCGUGGGGAGCAAACAGGAUUAGAUACCCUGGUAGUCCCACGCCCCCAAC
rnacentral:rRNA from 1 species